rnacentral:misc_RNA from 1 species
GAUGAAGAACGUAGCGAAAUGCGAUAAGUAAUGUGAAUUGCAGAAUUCCGUGAAUCAUCGAAUCUUUGAACGCAUAUUGCGCCCGCCAGUAGUCUGGCGGGCAUGCCUGUUCGAGCGUCAUUACAACCCUCAGGCCCCCGGGCCUGGCGUUGGGGAUCGGCGGAAGCCCCCUGCGGGCACAACGCCGUCCCCCAAAUACAGUGGCGGUCCCGCCGCAGCUUCCAUUGCGUAGUAGCUAACACCUCGCAACUGGAGAGCGGCGCGGCCACGCCGUAAAACACCCAACUUCUGAAUGUUGACCUCGAAUCAGGUAGGAAUACCCGCUGAACUUAAGCAUAUCAAUAAGCGGAGGA